UUUGUAUCUUCUUGUCAUAUGAUUUGCAAAGUGAAAGUGCAGGAAGUGUAUGUACAGCAACAAACAAUUUUUUAUAUUUAUAUUCAGUGAGUAAAGCUGCAGCUCGUCAGUACCUUAUCAUGCAUUCCUUCUUAUUUUGUCUUUCAUCAGUCAGUCUUGUCAACAGUCAACCUUUACUUGAGAAACUACUGCCCUUACUAUAUCGGUGUGUUUUUGGUCGUGAAACAGGUUUUUCAGGCCUCCUAACUUUAGAUGAAGGAAGAUAAAUAGACAGGAUUGGCUUCAUCCAUGGAGACACUGACGCCAACAACGAUAAAACAGUCUAAAGAAUGUAUGAGCCUUGAUCAGAUUUGCGAAUAUGCACGACUUAUGUGUGUUUCGAGGCCUAUGUGCGUUCGAAGAUACCAUAAUGUGUACUGAAGAUUUUUUAGAAUUUGGUGACAUCUCUGUGGUAAUUUCCAGAUUUCCGAAUGUUUCAUGACAACUGGAACUUCGUGAACCUCAGCGGCCGGGUGGGUAACGGAACCCAUAAUGCAGCUGAUUUGUUCAUUGCCAGCUGAAUGUGGAUUCCGUUUCUCACCUUUCCUGCAAUACACUGACAUUUCUACAACCUCUAUUCGACAUCCUGUGUGUUUGAAAGUAGCUGAGAUAUAUUAACCGCCACCGGGAACUUCGUGUCAGCCAGCAGUGAAAUCCAGAUCAGCCUUCUUUUUCUUCUUCUUCUUCUUUCGGCUUCUCCCAUGAGGGGUCGAAACCAGCCUAAUUAUCAAAAUCCAUUUCUGCAUGUCUUUCAACUGAAGUCGAAUCUGAAAAGAAAAACAUAUAUAUCUGAAUAAUUACGUGCGUUUGUUUUUUUAAUAAAUAAUGUAGAACCAA